GAAAAUAACUAUGAUUCCCUUAGUAACGGCGAGUGAACAGGGAGAAGCCCAAAUUUGUAAUCUGGCACUUUUUACAAGUGUCCGAGUUGUAAUUUGUGGAACUGUUAUCCGUCCUGGACCAUGUACAAGUCUGUUGAAAAGCAGCAUCAUUGAAGGUGAAAAUCCUGUAGAUGAUAUGGACUACCAGUACUUUUGUGAUACGGUUUCUAAGAGUCGAGUUGUUUGGGAAUGCAGCUCAAAGUGGGUGGUAAAUUCCAUCUAAGGCUAAAUAUAAGUGAGAGACCGAUAGCAAACAAGUACCGUGAGGGAAAGAUGAAAAGAACUUUGAAAAUAGAGUUAACAGUACGUGAAAUUGCUGAAAGGUAAACGUUUGAAGUUAGUUUUGUAUUCGUUAGAUCAGCUUCGCAAGGAGUGUAUUCUGAUGAUAAGCAAGUCAACAUCAGUCUAUGAGUGUCGGAGAAGGGUUUUGAGAAUGUAGCAAUUUAAUUGUGUUAUAGCUUGAGACUUGGAUACGAUGCUUUGGAUUGAGGAACGCGUAGUAAGCUUUGAGCGGAUUCGAAAGGAUCUCCUUACUAUGGAUGUUGGUGAAAUAACUUUAAGCGACC
rnacentral:rRNA from 1 species